CCGGAAUAAGGAUGCCACUGUGUCCCGGCUGAGAUUUGGUUGUUCUCGUUCGCCUCCCUGUAUGAUAGCCUGUGGUUUAUGACAUGGUCUAUGAUAGUAUCUCUUAUUUCAUCAGGUACCCUAGCUCUGGCCCUUCUUUGAGUGCCACCACGCAUUCUAACUCCUCUCUACUACGUUGUUCUUGUCCAGGCAUUCCUCACCCUUGCCCUUGUCCCACUCAUCUCCCUUGUCCUGGUACUAGUCUUCCUCUCCCUUGUGUAGGCAUUUUUCUUACUUUCUUUUUGUUGCUCUAUAUUGUUCCUUUUCCACACAAGAUUAGCCCAAGAGGUCCUCUUUUACUGUAUACCACAUGGGCAUGCAAUUGAAAGAACAUCAACACCUGAGUGUGUUUCCUAGAUGGGAAUAGAUUAAGUAGUAGGUAAAAAGAUAAGUAUAAAGUGAAACAAUAUACUUGAAGCAUUCUAUAUAUAAUUCAAGUAAACUGUUAAAUUAUACUUCUUUUUCACAAUGGCUACAUUCCUACUAGUCUCUAAUGUUUUCUGUUUUCACCAUCAUAACCUAGUUUUAUAAACGGCUUCGUGUGGUUAGUGGUGACUCAGCAUUACCGGCGAUUUAAUACGGAACAUCCACUGGUAUCCACUAAGUGCCACACGAUGAGAAGCAACCACAUUAACCAAAUUUCUACGUUUUAAAAAUGAUGUAUUUUACAUUUGUGCUUAUUUAAUAAAAAAGAAAUGCUUAACCAACUGGAGAACCGUAAAAAUCCAGAAAAGUACUUGCAAUGGCCAUCUCAUUCUCCAGUCUCUAACUACAACCAUCUGUUUUGUUAUCAAUGAAAAAUUCUUAAAUGUUAAGAAUAAGGCAAAAUAACAGGCAGCGUCAAGCUUUAGACUUUUAGCUACUCUAUUCCAGGCAGUGUUAUUCAGCUUAUCUAGCUCACACAGUCUAAGUAUCCUGGAGAUUAGUGACUUCCUCAGCUCGUGCUGCGACUUAUCACUUAACCUUUCAACCCGUGAAACAUUUUUUGCUCCCAUGUCUCAGAGACACUUCCACAGCUCAGGUUAGUUUUUAACCUCUAGCGCAUUAAACCUCACCUCUGAUCUGCCUUAACACACUGCAGAGGUAUCUAGACACGCACAGAUGUUACAGAUUUCCAGAUCACCCUUUAUUACUGUUUAUUACUUUUUUAUCACCCUUUAUUACUAGGUUUGUUUGUGAUAGUUUGUGGCUAGCUAAUUAUAGCUAGUAUGUUAUGUAUUCUGUUUGUAUUACAUUAGCUACUUACUUGUAACACAGUGAGAUAGUUAACCAUGAAGCUAGGCAACAAGUUACAUACACUGUCUGUGAAGUUGUCUUAUGUUAGCUAGUAAACUAUGACAGAGACACCUAACACCUUACAUUUGUAAAUGUAUUCCUCAGAGAGCCAGUUCUGUCCAUCAUGGGCCCCAAAAUCUAUAUAGGUAGCCUCCUUCUGUAGUUUUGAAAUGUCCAUGAUUACAAAUGACGAACUAUUUACACAUGUAAGAGAGUGUAUCGUGUGUUUCCUGCACUAUGUGAGAACAGUUCACAGUUUUCUGAGUGUGUGUGUAUGAGUUGCUAUUGUUAUUGUGUUUACUGGAGGUCCUGCUAGAAGUUCUGGUUGAAAGAAGAAAACGGAAGUUGACAUAAUGCUGGGUUUGGCAACUGCUUCCGAGAAGCUGUUGAGGAAUUGGACCAGUAUUUGCACUCGAUAAUGAAUUACUGUGCACACUAUUAAUUAAUGAAUUAAGAAAUUAAAACCAUUCAUAUUUUUUAUAAGUCAUUUUUAAAAGGCGGAGGUGAAGAACACCACAACAUGAGUGUUUUUAAGAGUCUACACCUCCGAGUUACAGCCGGAGCUAGUAUAUUGGAUUGGUUCCCUCCGACCUCCCAAAAACAUGACGGUAGUGAACUGACGAUGCAAAUUGUUCUCUCUAGGUUCUAUAUAAAUAAAGUCUACUAUUAUGUGAGCAGUGUGAAUAACUACAUGAGAUUUCUCUACCAGAUUCAGUAACAAUCCUCUGAAUUUGAUGUGACCUCAGUCACUGCCUUCAUAUUGCAUCAGCCACAUUGUUACUGUGUGAAGCACAAAGCAACAGGAUGCAGCUUCCGGCCUUUGUGCAGUCAUUCAGCAACUACUGAUGAUACACUUCCUUUUUAUUUUUUAUCAAACAGAGUAGAUAAAGUAUUUAAGCUACACCAUUUUAAGGAAUAGCGGUGCUUUUCAAAUGAAGAGGUGAAUUUAUACUUUCGACAGCGGAAGGUGAACACACAAUAUGAUCAGCUUUUAAAGCGAUUAAUGUUGUAAUUACACUUUUGCUGGGAAAUAUGGAUGCCAAGGAUAAGCUACUUAAUUUUGUCGGUUAUGAUUUAGCUAGCUCAUAGCUGAGCUGCCACUGUAGAUGAUGUAACAACAGUGGAAAGUGAAAACAAGUCAAAUCAGUUGGGAAUAUCUACCAGUUAGGAAUAAGACUCACUUAGAUGAAACUGACACUGUAGUAACACUUGCUGUAGGCGUCCUCACUUGAGACAGAUAAGUAAGAUGGUGGAAAAGGAAUAGAGGAGAAUGCAAGUCAACAAGUGUGUAUUAAAGCAAGGAUUGGAAAAUAGGCCCUGAUUCCACUGCCUUAUUUAGCCUCUGUGCUGAGGUAGUGCUUUCCGAGAAGGAGUGUGUUCUGUUUCCGGGCUUGAUACGUUUGUUCCCUGGACUAUGAAGCACUUUAUUUGGAUAGGCUCCUGUAUCCACAUUUAAAUAAUGUCCAACCAUGUUUAGUGGAAAGAACCUAAAACUGUUCUGGGUGCUGUUUCUGAUCUCUAAAUAAGGGAGGAUGUGUUCACCAUAUGGCUAUGAGGAGAAUGUAACACGUGACUUUGGUAGUGCCCUUUAAAUCGUUGACAUAAUGGAAGAUGUGUCAAGAAAUGUUUACUAGACAUACCAUAACAAUCACGUUUAUUUGUGCAGAAGCUGUUGGAUUCAUUUUUAUCUCUGUUUAAGCCUGGAACCUCUUCCUAACCUCCCUCUAUCAAAGUUAUGAUUAUACAGUGCAGUGAUAUACUGAACAUAUAAUAUAGGAAUAUGCAGAAAACUGGAGGUUGGACCACACACUCAGAAUAUUCAUAUUUAGAAUAAGACCUGUUCAUAAAUCAUGUAAAUAACUCAGUUCCAGUGAAAGAAGUGUGGCCUCUGAAUCUGUCUCAGUGAAGGAGGUGUGGCCUCUGAAUCUGUCUCAGCGAAGGAGGUGUGGCCUCUGUAUCUGUCUCAGCGAAGGAUGUGUGGCUUCUGUUUCUGUCUCAGUGAAGGAGGUGUGGCUUCUGUAUGUGUCUCAGUGAAGGAGGUGUGGCCUCUGUAUCUGUUUCAGUGAAGUCGGUGUGGCCUCUGUAUCUGUCUCAGUGAAGUCGGUGUGGCCUCUGUAUCUCUCUCAGUGAAGGAGGUGUGGCCUCUGUAUCUGUCUGUCUCAAUGAAGACAGAGCUUUGUGACUUUUUACUUUUGUCCAGUUUCUGAAAUCGGCACAGCCGUUUAAGGUUAGUAAGUGAUGAUGUAGGCAUGCAGUUUGCAUGAAGCUAAACUGAUAGCUAUAAGCAUCCAUUACUUUUUAGCUUACAUUACCAUCAGCGCUCCAGUGCAAAACCAAUGAAGCAACCUUAUCUUGACCGAUAGACUGCGUUUGGUCUAAGGGGGAGGUUGUUUACAUUUCAAUUUGAACAAACUCAUCAUUCAAAGUGAUGUUCUUUGUCUUUGUUUUACAAGUACCUCUGCAAAAAUUAUGUGAAAUGUCGUACAACAUUACAAACACCAUUAAGACAGAGUGCACUGUUUUUAUGAGUACUUUGAGUUUGACAUCACCUUUGCUCUACAUUACAUACAUGUGUGUGUGUGUGUGUGUGUGUGUGUGUGUGUAUGUGUGUGUGUAAAACAUGAUGUAACUCUAUCCCUUAGUCUAUAACUGUGAUGGUGCAUUUAAAAGGUGAUGCUGGUCAUGAACCCACUGCUGGGGGUUACACAUGAAGCUGGAGAUGCAGGAAAUAGCUCCAAUAUGACAGGACAAGGAGACCAGACGGUCUUUGAUCCUGUCUGGAGUGAUUUACACAUCCACUCAGGCCUCCCUGGUUUAGAGAUUGAUUUCAGCUUGUGUCUGCAAAGAUGUUGAGCCUGCAGGGUGAUUUUAAAUAUCUAGGACAUGGACCAUGUUUUAUUACAGGGUAGAUGGUGCUUUAUUCAUCCAAGGUUCUUUAUCAGUCGAGCUGAAUGGUGGGAAAUUCUCCACUACUGUUAUAUAUCUUAAAGAAUAAAAGGCCUUUCAAACUUUGGAAAUCAAUGUCACCUACGCAUCAAAGACUAUGGUUUUCUGAAUGAUGUUUAAAUAUCUUAUCUUCUGAAUUACAUCUGAUGAUGACUCAGUUAUACGCUCAUCUGUGUUACUGUUCAUGCUGCUUUCAGUCAAUAAGCACACACUGAACUGUACUGAAUCUCAUCGUACUGGAUGUCACAGGGCUGAAUGAGAAAUAAAAUGUGACAGCAGUGUGUUAUAAUAGAUUAAAUACGACAGUAUUGAUUAAUGAGGCUUUUUGUUUAGAAAGCGGAGCUUGAGCACAACUCUGUAUCUUGUCCAUUUGGAUUGUGCACAACUAUGUUACGAAAAUGGUAAGGCAGAUGAAGCACUUGAGCAGUGAGCGUGUGUGCGUGUGUGUGUGUGUGUGUGUGUGUGUGUGUGUGUGUGUGUGUGAAUGAGUGGGUGAAUGUCAGAAUGUUUACACAUGGCAUAUUUCUAUAACUUCAGGAUCAUUCCUCAGGAGGGAGUGUGAAGAUGGGCCAUCUCUCAUUCCCUCGUUUCCUGUCUUGUGCAUAUGGUUGUGUCCAAAUCAGAUUGGACUCUAAAUACCCUCAUUAGUCCCCUUUAAACGACGACGCAAUUUCGACUAAUUACGCCUCAGAAAGACAAGUGACGCAAAAAAAUGCAUCCUCACGCACUAAGGUUUAGAAUGAUAUUUGCAUUUAUAUUCAUUCUUUCGACAGAUGCUACUAUCCAAAGCCACUUGAAACUGAGUUGAAAAGAUGAGAGAAAAAGACUCUAGUCCAGAGCCCUAACUGCUGAGCCAGCAAAAUAAAUAAGCUAGCACAAGUGAACUAUUUCCAAAUGUUUCCACGACACCGGGGCCUUCGGAACAAGUGACAUUGCAGGUUUCAGCUGAAAAAAACAUUGUAAUGAUACUUUCUAGUGGACCUCUUUUUCAGUGGAUACUGUGGAACAUGCUUGUUUGUACAUAUAGUAAACCUACUACAAGAUUAUUACACCUAUUUCUGGACAUAUUUUACUCAUUUUAAUCAAGCCUGAAAUAAUUAUGUUCUAUUGGCAGAUAAUUUUGCUAAUUUUGCUAAUUUCUAGAAAGAAGCAAAAUGAUCUGACGAUAACAAUAAGAAAAUUUUAAGCUGGAAAUGAAUAGAAAUAGGUUGAAUAAUCUAAUAUUUGUUUUACUGUAGACAGUACAAGCCAUCAUUUGAACACUAACCAGUUCUAGUGAGUUUUCCAUGUUAGGCUUCCAGACAUGACAUUUAAAAGGGCAAAACUCCCUACAAAGUGCACUAUGUAGUGAAUAGGGCGUGGUUUGGACUCGGAUUUGUGAUGCAAUAAUGCUGUAAUUCAGUUUAGCAAAGAGCGCAGUUCUUUUGAUUAGGAUGUUUAUGACAUUAUUACUCUACGUUCACACUACCAGGCAUCAAAGUGACGGGUGACCAUUUCUUUUUCUAUGUACAUAGCUGACACGGAGCCACGAUUUAGUGACAUUGGCAAGCGACGAUGCAACAAUGCAACAAGCGACAUUUGAAUUGAGAUUCUCUCCACUCUGUACAUAUUAUGUAGCCUAUGACAUAGUAAAGUGACGAAUCCAAACGAUCAGCUUGCAGAACAAUCCUAUGGUGCAACUGGUCCGAUGUUUCUUCAGUUCCACAGACUCACACGUUGACACACAAAAAUGGAAGAUAAACUUAUAACUGUAGUUUUGUUAUAUCCUGUUGUACACAACCUCUCAGUAAAUGUAUAUAGAAAUGUUAUAAAGAAAUAAAGCCUGGGAGGAAGUAACAAAGACAGCUGGUGCCUCUGGGAAGUGCACACUUAAUUUGAUAGUAUGAUAUAACAUGUAAAAUCAAACCAUCAGUUUUCACAUUGAUUAGUGUGUAAUUU
ensembl:lncRNA